CAGUCGCCACGGGAAUACGAAGGGGGCUAGCGUUGUUCGGAAUUACUGGGCGUAAAGCGCACGUAGGCGGAUAUUUAAGUCAGGGGUGAAAUCCCGCAGCUCAACUGCGGAACUGCCUUUGAUACUGGGUAUCUUGAGUAUGGAAGAGGUAAGUGGAAUUCCGAGUGUAGAGGUGAAAUUCGUAGAUAUUCGGAGGAACACCAGUGGCGAAGGCGGCUUACUGGUCCAUUACUGACGCUGAGGUGCGAAAGCGUGGGGAGCAAACAGGAUUAGAUACCCCUGUAGUCCCUGUCUCUUAUAC
rnacentral:rRNA from 1 species